GUCUGAAACUCAAUUUACCAGGGGUCUCAAACUCAACUUACCUGGGGGCCGCUGGAGGUAGCGUCUGGGUCAGGCUGGGCCGCAUCAAGU